rnacentral:rRNA from 1 species
UACGAAGGGGGCUAGCGUUGCUCGGAAUCACUGGGCAUAAAGGGUGCGUAGGCGGGUCUUUAAGUCAGGGGUGAAAUCCUGGAGCUCAACUCCAGAACUGCCUUUGAUACUGAGGAUCUUGAGUUCGGGAGAGGUGAGUGGAACUGGCGAGUGUAGAGGUGAAAUUCGUAGAUAUUGCAAGAACACCAGUGGCGAAGGCGGCUCACUGGCCCGUUACUGACGCUGAGGCACGAAAGCGUG